rnacentral:ncRNA from 1 species
GCCGGCUUUCCAUCAGCCGGGGUUACUGAAGAGGCACACCUUCAUUGCCGGACGUGCGGUUGGGAUACCCCCUCCAAUCCAUGGCAGACAAAGCCGAACCAUGCUGCUUUUGCGGCAUUGGUUCAUCAUCGCGCUGU